GUCAGCAUAGUUUAAUAAAAGCACUAGGUUGUGGACCUAGAAAUAGAAGUUUAAGCCUUCUUGCAGACC
rnacentral:tRNA from 1 species